rnacentral:rRNA from 1 species
AGUGAACGCUGGCGGUAGGCCUAACACAUGCAAGUCGAACGGCAGCACAGUAAGAGCUUGCUCUUACGGGUGGCGGGUGGCGGACGGGUGAGGAAUACAUCGGAAUCUACUUUUUCGUGGGGGAUAACGUAGGGAAACUUACGCUAAUACCGCAUACGACCUACGGGUGAAAGCAGGGGAUCUUCGGACCUUGCGCGAUUGAAUGAGCCGAUGUCGGAUUAGCUAGUUGGCGGGGUAAAGGCCCACCAAGGCGACGAUCCGUAGCUGGUCUGAGAGGAUGAUCAGCCACACUGGAACUGAGACACGGUCCAGACUCCUACGGGAGGCAGCAGUGGGGAAUAUUGGACAAUGGGCGCAAGCCUGAUCCAGCCAUACCGCGUGGGUGAAGAAGGCCUUCGGGUUGUAAAGCCCUUUUGUCGGGAAAGAAAAGCAGCAGGUUAAUACCCCGCCGUUCUGACGGUACCCAAAGAAUAAGCACCGGCUAACUUCGUG